rfam:Triticum aestivum genome assembly, contig: Triticum_aestivum_CS42_TGACv1_scaffold_093048_2AL
UGUAUACUCCCUCCGUCCGAAAAUACUUGUCAUCAAAAUGGAUAAAAAAGGAUGUAUCUAGAACUAAAAUACAUCUAGAUAUAUCUCCCUUUAUCCAUUUUGAUGACAAGUAUUUCCAGACGGAGGGAGUAUAUA